CGCGCAGGCGGCGCGUUAAGUCCGGGGUGAAAUCCCACGGCUCAACUGUGGGGGACCCGUCGGAUACUGGCGUGCUGGAGUGCGGGAGAGGGAAGCGGAAUUCCACGUGUAACGGUGAAAUGUAUAGAUAUGUGGAGGAACACCGGUGGCGAAGGCGGCUUCCUGGACCGUAACUGACGCUGAGGCGCGAAAGCUGGGGGAGCGAACA
rnacentral:rRNA from 1 species